GACGGAGGGUGCUAGCGUUGUUCGGAAUCACUGGGCGUAAAGGGCGCGUAGGCGGCUUGGUUAGUCAGAUGUGAAAGCCCAGGGCUCAACUCUGGAAUUGCAUUUGAUACUCCCAAGCUAGAGGUCGAAAGAGGAGAGUGGAAUACCCAGUGUAGAGGUGAAAUUCGUAGAUAUUGGGUGGAACACCAGUGGCGAAAGCGGCUCUCUGGUUCGAUACUGACGCUGAGGCGCGAAAGCGUGGGGAGCAAACAGG
rnacentral:rRNA from 1 species